CUUUCCUCUAAAACAUUAAGAGCAUGAGGACAGAGAUGAAUUAGAUAUAGCUGUGUAGUAUUCAUAACUGUAUGUAACCAGAGGGUUUUUUGCAGGGUUAUGUUUUAUUAAGUAUAAGGGAAAUGCCUGAAUUCUUAACCUAAAAUAUCAAAAUAAAGGUGUCUAAUGUGUGUAAUUAGCUCUGUUGGGUUUCUGUACUCUCCACUUUACUGUCUCCUAACUCAGAUUCAGUAAAGGUUUUUAGUUGUUCAGAUCUGCAAACUCCAUCUAGUUUUACUACAUGACUUCUUAACCUUAACAACUGAGACUUGACAUGAAGCCCCAUUAAAGAAUGACUUAACACUUAAUCCACUCGUGUACAGUCCCUUUAUUUUGCUAUUAAGUGAUCCUGAGCCCACCCUAUAGUGUUCAUUACAGCAGAAGUAAUUUUUAUUUUUCCAAGAAAAUCCAGUAAUUCUGUCCUCUAGAUGGGGCAAGCAGGCAGGCAGAGAACAAAAGUGGGUGAGGACGUGAGACACAGGGAAAACACAGGUUAGUAUGGAUACGAAAAGUAGAGCAUAACAAACAGUAGACUUGGCUGUAGCGUCUGUACCACAUAGGCAAACUGAACAAUCUGACGAAGAGUGGAGAGGAGAGCUGGGGUUUUAUACAGCAGGAGCUUAAUGACUGGAUGAGUCGUAGGUGUGCAGCUUUGUCAAGGCAAUGGUGGCAUAUUAUUAUCCAUCUGACAGUGAAGUGUCUGCAGAUUCAGAGCUCCAGGAAUGGGUCAAUGAGAUCUUCUACUAUGGAUUUCUGGGAAAUGGUGACUCAGGGUUGCGAGAGAAGUACACACUGACUGGGGCGCCUUGUAUCACAGGGCUGAGACACAUUCGCUUACAUUCACACCUAUGGGUAGAGAAGGAAUGCAUUAAA